UGCACACACUGUGCCUCACAGCCUACUUUACGCUGGCAAGCAUAGGAUGCUUGUGUUGCCUGGGGUACUGAGGCUAGUCUACACUCCCCUCAGAUGUUUGCUUGGGAGGUGGCAGGGAAACAAAUUCAAGUAUUCAACAACCCCUCCAUCUUUCUAGUUUUUUGUUCUUUUAUAGGGUGAAUCAGGUUAAUAUUGAUGUCAAGGAAAGCUGUAAAGGACAAUCAUAAUGGGUAGAUCAUGGCCUAAAGCUGGGUCUGGCAUGAAUAAGGUCAGAGAGGCAGCUUUUGUUCAUGUGUCUUUUGAUUUGAAUGGAUUUGGGGAUUUUUUUUUUUUAAAUCACCUGCUACUGAAGCUAUCUUCUCUCUGUCCCAUGAGCUGCCUCUCUGACUUGCAGUUUGUCCCUAAUCCCCAGUUGUCUUCUGUCCAUUCUCUCUUGCAUGGACAUUGAUCUGCCCAGAGAUAGUCAUAGGAGGAUAAUAGCUUAAAAAUUCUGGCCGAGUUCCUCAGCCAGAAGAGUUCCAGAGUUUACCAAACUAGAAUCCAUUCAUGGUAACAUUAUUGAUUGAACACAAUUCUUGUUAAAAAAGUGACCAGACUUAGUCACUGAGUGCUUGUGAGGUAAGGUAGUUUUCUUGUUUCUAGAAUUCAGUGUAAUAGUUACAUUUUGCUGAGAAAAAUCCCCGUGUUGGAAACAAUCAAAGAUUGUAUAUAAUUAAUUCAAAUACUUUAUGUAAUAUAUGUCAACUUACAUAUUCUUAAACUUUAUUACUAUAUGUUAGCAACAUGACAAGUGCCAUUUUUUGAAAGAGUGAAUCAUGUCUAAAAAUUGUUACAUUUUGGGACAAAAUUUCCACAUGAAGAUAAUUCUGUCUUUCCUCAAGGCUUGUUUUAUACAGUUGGCUGAGUUAAGAACAUUCCUCUGGUUUGGUACUUCUGAAAUCCCCUUGGACAUUCAGUUUCUUGUUAAAAACAUAAGUUCUUUUUUUUUUUUUUAAAGUCUUCAAUGGGACCCAUGUCUUCAUUUGUCAGUAUUUUUGAGUAAAUGCUAUUUUGAAUAGAAAGGUUAUUUGUAAUUUCAAGAUGGAACUGCUAAUGUAAGCGUACACGUGGAUGCUUGUGUGUGUUUUCCAUAGCACAUUUUUUGUUUUUUGUUUUUUUUGUUUUUUCUUUUAAGAAACAUAAAACACAGAUGGGCGUGAGUCUCGCACGACUGCAAUCCCAGUGCCUAUGAGGUAGAGGCAAGAGGGUCAGGAGGUCAAGAUUUCCUCAGCUGUGUAGUGACUUAGAGAUCAGCCCUGGGCCACAUGCAACAGCCUUGUCUUAAGGGGGGGGGCAGAGGGAAAGAAAUAAAUGGCAAAAAGAAAUAUCACAAAGCCAUAAAGCAUUUGUCCCAAAUAGUCACAAAUAUAACACAGUGUAAUGUGCGUGGAAAUUGAUUUUGAUGGUUGGAAGUUUGGGUCCAAAUCAAAUGCAUAAGUGGAGCAUGAGUAAGGGUUCUGUCACUGUCUUAACCAGUCAGUGCAUUUCUCCCCUCCGUGGGGAGCUCCACAUGACCACACUGGAACAAGCGUAAAACGCUUCCAGAGUUAACAAGACUUUGACAAUCUAUUGCUUGGUCAAAUCUGUAGCAGUAGUUCAAAAUACUCUAUGUUAAACUCAAGAUUCUAGGUGUUGGCAACUCCAAGCUAGAAAGUCACCCCGGGCUGUUUCCUUUACCCCUUGGUUCAAAACUCCAUUUGAGCUCUAUUCUUUGCAAGAUCCUGCCCCUGCCAGGGAUCCCCCCUUCUCCCCCAGUUAUGGAGGUGGAGAAGGAUCAAUGUAAAUGAAGAGUUGCAUAAGUUGUCUAGUUUGAGCAUGGCAAGCGGUUUUGUCAGGCUCUCUUCUGGUCAUGAGUUCUUGGUAUCGCUAUUGUGAAAUCCUGUGUCAUAAUAACCCAUUAAUGAAGGGAGAGCAGCAGAAGUCUGGCUCCGUGGGAACGCACUCAGAUGCGGAGCAGAUGGCGUUCUACAACAUUUAUUUUUGGGGAAAUGUGUAUCUGUUACAUAACCUAAAAUAUGUCUUUUUCACUUUUAAAAAUAUUUGGGUCAUGGUUUGAAGUUUUGAUUGGAUUUUUUUUAAGUUGGGAGGAAGAAGAAAGGUAACUGUAUUUUACGACGUAUUUGACAUGUUACUAAUAAAAUUUUAUUACUGGC
rnacentral:lncRNA from 1 species